rnacentral:rRNA from 1 species
UGGGGAAUUUUCCACAAUGGGCGGAAGCCUGAUGGAGCAAUACCGCGUGGGUGAUGACGGUUCGUGGACUGUAAAGCCCUUUUCUUAAGGAAGAGUAAAUGACGGUACUUAAGGAAUAAGCACCGGCUAACUCUGUGCCAGCAGCCGCGGUAAUACAGGGGGUGCAAGCGUUGUCCGGAAUGAUUGGGCGUAAAGCAUCUGUAGGUGGUUCUUAAAGUCAACUGUUAAAUCCCAGAGCUCAACUUUGGACAAGCAGUUGAGUACUUAGGGACUUGAGUACGGUAGGGGUAGAGGGAAUUCCUAGUGAAGCGGUGAAAUGCACAGAGAUUAGGAAGAACACCAGUGGCGAAAGCGCUCUACUGGGCCGUGACUGACACUGAGAGAUGAAAGUUAGGGGAGCGAAAAGGAUUAGAUACCCUUGUAGUCCUAACCGUAACGAUGGAUACUAAAUGCUGUCAAAAACAGUAGUUGAAGCUAACGCGUUAAGUAU